GCCAUAUCAGUUUGAAAUCAUUUCCAUGUGAUCACUGAAGUUAAGCAACUUCAAGCCUGGCCAGUACCUAGAUGGUUGACCACUUGGGAAUACCAUGUGCUGUGA